UACGAAGGGGGCUAGCGUUGCUCGGAAUCACUGGGCGUAAAGCGCACGUAGGCGGCUCUUUAAGUCAGGGGUGAAAUCCCGGAGCUCAACUCCGGAACUGCCUUUGAUACUGGGGAUCUUGAGUUCGAGAGAGGUGAGUGGAACUGCGAGUGUAGAGGUGAAAUUCGUAGAUAUUCGCAAGAACACCAGUGGCGAAGGCGGCUCACUGGCCCGGUACUGACGCUGAGGUGCGAAAGCGUGGGGAGCAAACAGG
rnacentral:rRNA from 1 species